rnacentral:rRNA from 1 species
CCGUCAAUUCAUUUAAGUUUUAGUCUUGCGACCGUACUUCCCAGGCGGAGUACUUAAUGCGUUAGCUGCGGCACUGCAGGGGUCAAUACCCGCAACACCUAGUACUCAUCGUUUACGGCGUGGACUACCAGGGUAUCUAAUCCUGUUUGCUCCCCACGCUUUCGCGUCUCAGCGUCAAUAUCGGUCCAGGUAGCCGCCUUCGCCACCGGUGUUCCUCCUAAUAUCUACGGAUUUCACUCCUACACUAGGAAUUCCACUACCCUCUCCCGUAUUCAAGUCUCCCAGUUUCCAAUGCACUUCCCAGGUUGAGCCCGGGGCUUUCACAUCAGACUUAAAAGACCGCCUGCACGCGCUUUACGCCCAAUAAAUUCGGACAACGCUCGCCCCCUCCGUAUUACCGCGGCUGCUGGCACGGAGUUAGCCGGGGCUUAUUCAACCGGUACCGUCCAUUCUCGUCCCGGUUAAAAGGAGUUUACAACCCGAAGGCCGUCUUCCUCCACGCGACGUCGCUGCAUCAGGGUUUCCCCCAUUGUGCAAGAUACCUGAUUGCUGCCUCCCGUAGGAGU